CAUGACGUCAACUAAGUAUAAGUACCGCCCUCCUCCUUCGUCACAUCCUCUUUCCGUUGCUCUUCUCGCUUUGAGAAACCUCUCCACACGAUGAGAGCCAAGUGGAGGAAGAAGCGUAUGCGCAGGCUGAAGCGUAAAAGGAGAAAGAUGAGGCAGAGGUCAAAGUAAGCCCUCAUCGCCGCCAGCUGUGAUCCUGUCGGAGCCUUUCCAGAUGACUGACGCGUGUGGCUGAAGUGGACUGUGUGGCAUCGGCGAAACAAGGGCCCAAAUCCUGUUUUCAGAUGACGGCGUGUCUCAUGGAGCCAGCUGUGGAUGUCUGACUGGAAGACGGCGAAGACGCUGGACAGAUCUCUGACCAUCAGAACCACGGCUGUCCUGUUCAUGGACCAUAAUACAUGUUAACCAACAACUGUCAAGUGGUGUACUGAACAAUAAAUCAACACUGUUAAAAGUUUAACAUAA